rnacentral:rRNA from 1 species
GGCGGCCUACACAUGCAGUCCGACGGUAGCACAGAGGAGCUUGCUCCUUGGGUGACGAGUGGCGGACGGGUGAGUAAUGUCUGGGGAUCUGCCCGAUAGAGGGGGAUAACCACUGGAAACGGUGGCUAAUACCGCAUAACGUCGCAAGACCAAAGAGGGGGACCUUCGGGCCUCUCACUAUCGGAUGAACCCAGAUGGGAUUAGCUAAUAGGCGGGGUAAUGGCCCACCUAGGCGACGAUCCCUAGCUGGUCUGAGAGGAUGACCAGCCACACUGGAACUGAGACACGGUCCAGACUCCUACGGGAGGCAGCAGUGGGGAAUAUUGCACAAUGGGCGCAAGCCUGAUGCAGCCAUGCCGCGUGUAUGAAGAAGGCCUUCGGGUUGUAAAGUACUUUCAGCGGGGAGGAAGGCGACGGGGUUAAUAACCCUGUCGAUUGACGUUACCCGCAGAAGAAGCACCGGCUAACUCCGUGCCAGCAGCCGCGGUAAU